AAUCAUACACGGUUGGCCUAUU
rnacentral:miRNA from 1 species